AUACGGAGGGUGCAAGCGUUGUUGGGAAUUACUGGGCGUAAAGCGCGUGCAGGCGGUAAGGUAAGUCAGAUGUGAAAGCCCCGGGCUCAACCCGGGAAGUGCAUUUGAUACUGCCUUUCUUGAGUAUGGGAGAGGAGAGUGGAAUUCCCAGUGUAGAGGUGAAAUUCGUAGAUAUUGGGAGGAACACCCGUGGCGAAGGCGACUCUCUGGACCAAUACUGACGCUGAGACGCGAAAGCGUGGGGAGCGAACAGGAUUAGAAACCCCAGUAGUCC
rnacentral:rRNA from 1 species